rnacentral:misc_RNA from 1 species
GAUGAAGAACGCAGCGAAAUGCGAUACGUAAUGUGAAUUGCAGAAUUCAGUGAAUCAUCGAAUCUUUGAACGCAUAUUGCGCUCUCUGGUAUUCCGGAGAGCAUGCUUGUUUGAGUAUCAGUAAACACCUCAACUUCCAUAUCUUUUUUGAAAUGGGAGUUGGACUUGAGUGAUCCCAACGCUUUUCCUCACCGAAAAGUGGCGGGUUACUUGAAAUACAGGUGCAGCUGGACUUUUCUCUGAGCUAUAAGCAUAUCUAUUUAGUCUGCCUAAAAACAGAUUAUUACCUUUGCUGCAGCUAACAUAAAGGAGAUUAGUUCUUGUGCUGACUGAUGCAGGAUUCACAAAGACAGGCUUCGGCCGACUUUGUAAACUCGAUCUCAAAUCAAGUAAGACUACCCGCUGAACUUAAGCAUAUCAAUAAGCGGAGGA